GAAGCAGCUUGAGGAUUGUCUGCAGUUCCCAUUAUCUCUGAGGAUUGUAUUAUUCAGAUUCAGGGUUGAACAGUUCGCUUCUUUAUAAGCGCCUGGUGCCACCCUUCCCCGGCCGCAGAAGAAGGAAGGUUAACGUGCUGAGGUGAUGUGCAGCCCACAGAAUUUUUGAAGUGUGGCAUCAAAUGGGUGACAAGACUUCUUCGAAACCAAAGCUGGCCUCUGAAGAUGUGAAAAGUUGUAGUAGUAUGAAUAUCCCAUGACAACUGACUAAGCCUCUGUCAUCUGCAACUCUCAAACCCAUGAAAAACUACCACCUUGAAGGAUAGCUGGAAGGGUUUUCUUCUAAUCUGAUAUGUCUUAGAACAGAACAUUACAGCACAGUACAGGCCCUUUGGCCCUCGAUGUUGUGCUGACCUGUCAUACUGAUCUCAAGCCCAUCUAACCUACGCUAUUCCAUGUACAUCCAUAUGCUUAUCCAAUGAUGACUUAAAUGUACCUAAAGUUGGCGAAUCUACUACUGCUACAGGCAAAGCGUUCCAUUCCCUUACUACUCCGAGUAAAGAAACCACCUCUGAUAUCUGUCCUAUAUCUUUCACCCCUCAAUUUGGAGCUAUGCCCCCCUCGUGCUCGCCGUCACCAUCCUAGGAAAAAGGCUCUCCCUAUCCACCCUAUCUAACCCUCUGAUUAUUUUAUAUGGUUCAAUUAAGUCACCUUGCAACCUUCUCUCUAAUGAAAACAGCCUCAAGUUCCUCAGCCUUUCCUCAUAAGACCUUCUCUUUCUUCUCCCCCCCCCCCCCCCCCCCAAAUACCAGGCAACAUCCUAGUAAAUCUCCUCUGCACCCUUUCCAAAGCUUCCACAUCCUCCUUAUAAUGCGGUGACCAGAACUGUAUACAAUACUCCAAGUGUGCCUGCACCAGAGUUUUGUACAGCGUCACCAUAACCUCUUGGUUCUGGAACUAGAUCCCGCUAUUAAUAAAAGCUAAAACACUGUAUGCCUUAACAGCCCUGUCAACCUGGGUGGCAACUUUCAAGGAACUGUGUACACGGACACAGAUCUCUCUGCUCAUCUACACUGCUAAGAAUCUUACCAUUAGCCCUGUACUUUGCCUUCUGGUUACUCAUACCAAAGUGCAUCACCUCACUUGUCUGCAUUAAACUCCAUCUGCCACCUCUCAGCCCAGCUCUGCAACCUAUCUAUGUCUCUCUGCAACCUACAGCAUCCUUUGUCACUAUCCACAACUCCACUGACUUUAAUGUUGUCUGCAAAUUUACUAACCCAUCCUUCUAUGCCCUCAUCCAGGUCAUUUAUAAUAAUGACAAACAGCAGUGGACCCAACACCGACCCUUGCGGUACACCACUAGUAACCAGUCUCCAGGAUGAACAUUUCCCAUCAACUACCACCCUCUGUCUUCUUUCAGCAAGCCAAUUUCCGAUCCAAACUGCUAUAUCUCCCACAAUUCCAUUCCUCUGCAUUUUCCACAAUAGCCUUUUGUGGGGAACCUUAUCGAAUGCCUUGCUGAAAUCCAUAUACACCACAUCAACCGGUUUACUCUCACCUACCUGUUUGGUCACCUUCUCAAAGAACUCAAUAAGGUUUGUGAGGCACGACCUUCCCUUCACAAAACCGUGCUGACUAUCCCUAAUCAAUUUAUUCAUUUCUAGAUGAUUAUAAAUCCUAUCCCUUAUAACCUCUUGCAACACUUUACCAACAAAAAUUGUUUGGAAUUGUUACUUCACUGAUACUGGAGUUUAAAAUUUUAAGCUUCCUUACCAGCAUGCUGUGUGUACUUGCAGCUGCUGAUAGUUAAACUCCGAAUAGGCAGUAUGUGUACCCCAUGAAAUGAAGGAAAAGUCUCCUGGUUUGUGUUUAUAGGGCAGGCAAUAGUUCGUGAGUUACUGAAAAUGCAAGCCCCAAAUAAGUCAGUAGCAUAAGAUGAAUGAUCACCAGUUUGAGAUAGAAGCCACAGCAGGGCCAUUCAGCCCAUCUAGUCAGUUCUGCUAUUCAGUGAGAUCAUGGCUGAUCUGAAUCCUCAAUUCUACUUUUCUGCCUUUUCUCAAGCCCUUGAAUGCUUUGCCAAUUUAAAAACAAGUUAGUCCAUCACAUCCUUGAAUACUUCAUGACCCGGCCUUAUGAGGUAAAGAAUUCUGCAGAUCAUUAUCAGGAAAUUCCUCAUCUGUUGUAAAUUGAGUGACUUACUGAGAUGAAAGGGCCAGAGGGCAUUAAUUACCCCACAAGGGAGAAACAAACUUUUCUGCAUUUGCACUGUAAAGUCCCUCAAGAAUUUGUUUUCUUCUGAACGCCAAGGAUUACAGGCCACAUGUACUCAACAUUUCAUAAGACGGUCCUAGGUCAGCAUUUUGGAACCUUCUCUGAACUACUGGUAAUAUCAGCUCAUCUUGCUUUAGGCAAGGGGACCAACACUACUUUGCAAGACAUGGUCUAUGGUUCAGGAAGACCUCUAUUUUUGUAUUCCAUUUCCUUUCUCAUUAGCUGAACUUGUAUGCCACCUUGAGUUUUUAAUAAAAUAAUGUAGUCUUUCCAUUUAA